rnacentral:rRNA from 1 species
UACGUAGGGGGCUAGCGUUGUCCGGAAUCAUUGGGCGUAAAGGGCGCGUAGGCGGCCAUUCAAGUCGGGGGUGAAAGCCUGUGGCUCAACCACAGAAUUGCCUUCGAUACUGUUUGGCUUGAGUUUGGUAGAGGUUGGUGGAACUGCGAGUGUAGAGGUGAAAUUCGUAGAUAUUCGCAAGAACACCAGUGGCGAAGGCGGCCAACUGGACCAAUACUGACGCUGAGGCGCGAAAGCGUGGGGAGCAAACAGGG